GAUGAACGCUGGCGGCGUGCCUAAUACAUGCAAGUCGAGCGAACGGACGAUAAGCUUGCUUUUCUGAUGUUAGCGGCGCACGGGUGUGUAACACGUGGAUACCCUCCCUAUAACACUGGGAUAACUUCGGGAACCCGGAGCUAAUACCGCAUAAUAUUUUGAACCGUAUGGUUCAAUAGUGAAUGACGGUCUUGCUGUCACUUAUAGAUGGAUCCGCGCUGCAUUAGCUAGUUGGUAAGGUAACGGCUUACCAAGGCAACGAUGCAUAGCCGACCUGAGAGGGUGAUCGGCCACACUGGAACUGCGACACGGUCCAGACUCCUACGGGAGGCAGCAGUAGGGAAUCUUCCGCAAUGGGCGAAAGCCUGACGGAGCAACGCCGCGUGAGUGAUGAAGGUCUUCGGAUCGUAAAACUCUGUUAUUAGGGAAGAACAUAUGUGUAAGUAACUGUGCACAUCUUGACGGUACCUAAUCAGAAAGGCACGGCUAACUACGUG
rnacentral:rRNA from 1 species